rnacentral:lncRNA from 1 species
UUGGUUGUAAUUUGAUUUGAUCAAAUGUUGUAAAAGGGCAUAAGCUCUUCUUUACUUUAAAGUAAUUUAUUUUGAUCAAUUGUUGUAAAAGAGCAUAAGCUCUUCUUUACUUUAAAGUACUCCUUUUCUUGUUUUAUUUGAUAUGCAUGAAAUUGGAGUAGUUGGGUCCAACGCCCCUAGGAACAACACGCCUUAAUGUGAUUAAACGCGUAACUAAAAUCAAUCACCAUCCCUAGACCGAGAUUCAACACUAGGCU